rnacentral:rRNA from 1 species
UUAAGCGACUAAGCGUACACGGUGGAUGCCCUGGCAGUCAGAGGCGAUGAAGGACGUGCUAAUCUGCGAAAAGCGUCGGUAAGGUGAUAUGAACCGUUAUAACCGGCGAUGUCCGAAUGGGGAAACCCAGUGCAAUUCGUUGCACUAUCGUUAACUGAAUACAUAGGUUAACGAGGCGAACCGGGGGAACUGAAACAUCUAAGUACCCCGAGGAAAAGAAAUCAACCGAGAUUCCCCCAGUAGCGGCGAGCGAACGGGGAGCAGCCCAGAGUCUGAAUCAGCUUGUGUGUUAGUGGAACGGUCUGGAAAGUCCGACGGUACAGGGUGAUAGUCCCGUACACCAAAAUGCACAGGCUGUGAACUCGAAGAGUAGGGCGGGACACGUGGUAUCCUGUCUGAAUAUGGGGGGACCAUCCUCCAAGGCUAAAUACUCCUGACUGACCGAUAGUGAACCAGUACCGUGAGGGAAAGGCGAAAAGAACCCCGGCGAGGGGAGUGAAAAAGAACCUGAAACCGUGUACGUACAAGCAGUGGGAGCACCUUCGGGUGUGACUGCGUACCUUUUGUAUAAUGGGUCAGCGACUUAUAUUCUGUAGCAAGGUUAACCGUAUAGGGGAGCCGCAGGGAAACCGAGUCUUAACUGGGCGUUAAGUUGCAGGGUAUAGACCCGAAACCCGGUGAUCUAGCCAUGGGCAGGUUGAAGGUUGGGUAACACUAACUGGAGGACCGAACCGACUAAUGUUGAAAAAUUAGCGGAUGACUUGUGGCUGGGGGUGAAAGGCCAAUCAAACCGGGAGAUAGCUGGUUCUCCCCGAAAGCUAUUUAGGUAGCGCCUCGUGAACUCAUCUUCGGGGGUAGAGCACUGUUUCGGCUAGGGGGUCAUCCCGACUUACCAACCCGAUGCAAACUACGAAUACCGAAGAAUGUUAUCACGGGAGACACACGGCGGGUGCUAACGUCCGUCGUGAAGAGGGAAACAACCCAGACCGCCAGCUAAGGUCCCAAAGUCAUGGUUAAGUGGGAAACGAUGUGGGAAGGCACAGACAGCCAGGAUGUUGGCUUAGAAGCAGCCAUCAUUUAAAGAAAGCGUAAUAGCUCACUGGUCGAGUCGGCCUGCGCGGAAGAUGUAACGGGGCUAAACCAUGCACCGAAGCUGCGGCAGCGACACUAUGUGUUGUUGGGUAGGGGAGCGUUCUGUAAGCCUGCGAAGGUGUGCUGUGAGGCGUGCUGGAGGUAUCAGAAGUGCGAAUGCUGACAUAAGUAACGAUAAAGCGGGUGAAAAGCCCGCUCGCCGGAAGACCAAGGGUUCCUGUCCAACGUUAAUCGGGGCAGGGUGAGUCGACCCCUAAGGCGAGGCCGAAAGGCGUAGUCGAUGGGAAACAGGUUAAUAUUCCUGUACUUGGUGUUACUGCGAAGGGGGGACGGAGAAGGCUAUGUUAGCCGGGCGACGGUUGUCCCGGUUUAAGCAUGUAGGCUGGUUGUCCAGGCAAAUCCGGAUAAUCAAGGCUGAGGUGUGAUGACGAGGCACUACGGUGCUGAAGUAACAAAUGCCCUGCUUCCAGGAAAAGCCUCUAAGCAUCAGGUAACAUCAAAUCGUACCCCAAACCGACACAGGUGGUCAGGUAGAGAAUACCAAGGCGCUUGAGAGAACUCGGGUGAAGGAACUAGGCAAAAUGGUGCCGUAACUUCGGGAGAAGGCACGCUGGUGUGUAGGUGAAGUCCCUGCGGAUGGAGCUGAGACCAGUCGAAGAUACCAGCUGGCUGCAACUGUUUAUUAAAAACACAGCACUGUGCAAACACGAAAGUGGACGUAUACGGUGUGACGCCUGCCCGGUGCCGGAAGGUUAAUUGAUGGGGUUAUCCGUAAGGAGAAGCUCUUGAUCGAAGCCCCGGUAAACGGCGGCCGUAACUAUAACGGUCCUAAGGUAGCGAAAUUCCUUGUCGGGUAAGUUCCGACCUGCACGAAUGGCGUAAUGAUGGCCAGGCUGUCUCCACCCGAGACUCAGUGAAAUUGAACUCGCUGUGAAGAUGCAGUGUACCCGCGGCAAGACGGAAAGACCCCGUGAACCUUUACUAUAGCUUGACACUGAACAUUGAGCCUUGAUGUGUAGGAUAGGUGGGAGGCUUUGAAGCGUGGACGCCAGUCUGCGUGGAGCCAACCUUGAAAUACCACCCUUUAAUGUUUGAUGUUCUAACGUUGGCCCCUGACCGGGGUUGCGGACAGUGUCUGGUGGGUAGUUUGACUGGGGCGGUCUCCUCCCAAAGCGUAACGGAGGAGCACGAAGGUUAGCUAAUCCUGGUCGGACAUCAGGAGGUUAGUGCAAUGGCAUAAGCUAGCUUGACUGCGAGCGUGACGGCGCGAGCAGGUGCGAAAGCAGGUCAUAGUGAUCCGGUGGUUCUGAAUGGAAGGGCCAUCGCUCAACGGAUAAAAGGUACUCCGGGGAUAACAGGCUGAUACCGCCCAAGAGUUCAUAUCGACGGCGGUGUUUGGCACCUCGAUGUCGGCUCAUCACAUCCUGGGGCUGAAGUAGGUCCCAAGGGUAUGGCUGUUCGCCAUUUAAAGUGGUACGCGAGCUGGGUUUAGAACGUCGUGAGACAGUUCGGUCCCUAUCUGCCGUGGGCGCUGGAGAAUUGAGGGGGGCUGCUCCUAGUACGAGAGGACCGGAGUGGACGCAUCACUGGUGUUCGGGUUGUCAUGCCAAUGGCACUGCCCGGUAGCUAAAUGCGGAAGAGAUAAGUGCUGAAAGCAUCUAAGCACGAAACUUGCCCCGAGAUGAGUUCUCCCUGAGACUUUAAGUCUCCUGAAGGAACGUUAAAGACGAUGACGUUGAUAGGCCGGGUGUGUAAGCGCAGCGAUGCGUUGAGCUAACCGGUACUAAUGAACCGUGAGGCUUAACCUU